rnacentral:rRNA from 1 species
GAUGAACGCUGGCGGCGUGCUUAACACAUGCAAGUCGAACGGUGAACGAGGGAGCUUGCUCCCUCCGGAUCAGUGGCGAACGGGUGAGUAACACGUGAGUAACCUGCCCCAGACUCUGGGAUAAGCGUUGGAAACGACGUCUAAUACCGGAUACGAGACGAGAAGGCAUCUUCAUCGUCUGGAAAGAAUUUCGGUCUGGGAUGGACUCGCGGCCUAUCAGGUAGUUGGUGAGGUAACGGCCCACCAAGCCUACGACGGGUAGCCGGCCUGAGAGGGUGACCGGCCACACUGGGACUGAGACACGGCCCAGACUCCUACGGGAGGCAGCAGUGGGGAAUAUUGCACAAUGGGCGCAAGCCUGAUGCAGCAACGCCGCGUGAGGGACGACGGCCUUCGGGUUGUAAACCUCUUUUAGCAGGGAAGAAGCGAAAGUGACGGUACCUGCAGAAAAAGCACCGGCUAACUACGUGCCAGCAGCCGCAGUAAAAC